rnacentral:tRNA from 1 species
AUGCCUCUAGCUCAUCGGAAGAGCGGCGGACUCCAACCCCGCGCGUGCCAGGUUCGACUCCUGGGAGGUAUGC